AGGAUAUUAUAGUACUUUUACCUAUUAAAUGAAAUAUUUGAUCAUUUUCCUCCUUGUGGUCUAUUUUUGUGAUCAAAACUUGAAAAUUGUCUAUUUAGGAUAAUUGCCCAUGAAUAAAUGCUUUAUUUUAAAUUUAAAUCAUAUAAUUUUUAGUUGUAGAUUUAAAAAAAUCUUAUAUAUGGAUACGCUUUCAACACGUAUCUGCUUCCUAAUUUUUUCUAAAAUUUCGCUUCUGCGCUUUCAUACGCUUCCGUUUCCACGUACCCGCUUUCGUUUUCAUGUAACAUAGCCAAGAACCAUAUUCACCAAAAUUUAGAUCCAGACCUGACCCUGUAACGGCGCAGCUCGGCUAAGCGAUGUGGGAUGUAAUUAGCCUAGAUGUAAACCACUUUUCUCACUUGUUAAAAUUUUUAACAGUGUUUCUACAUGUUAUGCUCAUUUAUUAUUUAUUUCUCAUCCAGUUUAAAGUCUUUUUGAUAUUUGAAUAUACUAGAAUUUAGUAUUCGAAUUGGGAAGUAAAAAUAAAAUAGCCUCUUUAGUUUACAAAAACAGAGUUCCAACACUUUUUAGUAAAUAAGAUAAAUUAAUUCUGUUUUUUCCAGAACAAGAUAUUUUUGAACCUCAAGUUGUUUAAUUAGGUUACUUCCGGGUCCAUUAAAAAGCUAAUCAGGCGUACCAAAUUUAACACCAUAUACUACCUUUGUUUCGUAAGUGUCAUUUUAACAUUUUUUUUUGUACAUAAAAAAUAUCAUUUUACAAUUCCAAUGCAAAUUAUAUUUAUUUUCAGCUAAAAAUUAAUUACAAACUGCAUUGAUUUUAUAAAUAAUUUUAUUUAUCUUAAAUACUAUUGGUCCAAAAAAUGUAAUUAAUAACAAUUUACAUAUAUUUCAGCAACUUUUUUAAUAUAUGUGAAAAAUGUCAGUGACACUUAUUCAAAAACGGACUAAAAUCUGAAAUGGACAAAAUGGUCAAAAACAAGUCUCACACAUCCAAAAAAAAUCUACAUAGACCAAGGAGAGGAAAAUUACUAUUUUGCUUUUAAUGAUGGCUCAAUAUGAACCAUUAGAUCAGAUCAUCUCUCUUAUAAUAUGAGCCGUUAGAUCUUCAGAAGAAAAUGAAUGAAAUAAUUACAACAAUGUCAUUAAUGAAAUUCAUCUUAGCUGUCAGAUCUUUUCUCUGUGUUAUAAUCUGGACCGUCCGAUCUCUCAUUAAAUCUCUCCUUCUCUCGCCCGGGUUCCACCAUAAAUUUAAUCAUUCUUCUUCUUCUUCUUCUUCAUUUCACUCUCAACCACCACGAAAAUUCAUUACAUUCACCAACCAAAGCUCUCUUCUUCAACUCUUCAUCCACAAACCUUUACGUCUGUUUCUUAAGGUCUUUCUACAGCUUAUGACGCUGUGAAACAGCACUUGUGCGUCGUCCUUGGUUCUGAAAUCGCUUGUUUUUACACCAUCUCAUAAGUUUGCAUGAUCUACCUUAUACUUUUAAGGUUUGUUAACUUUUUUGUCCACAUAAUUUUUGGAAAACAUACAUGAAAUGUAUUUUAACAAAAUUGAUAAUUUCAUUUUAUUGGGGCAAAUGCAUGUACACAUAAAGAAGUGGUACAACUAAGGUAAGUUUAAAUUUUAUGUGGUACAACUAGUUUUUUCGAUUUCAAUGCCAAAGUACAACUAUGUACAAACCGGUACAGCUCAAAAACUAGUACAACUAUGUACAAGCCGGUACAACUCAAAUACUAGUACAACUAUGUUAUUUCAUCUUGUAUUGUGCAUCAAGUUUUAAACGUGUAUCAUAUUUUAAACAUUA